rfam:Cricetulus griseus cell line CHO-K1, whole genome shotgun sequence.
UUUAUUUUGUUCCUCCACAUUAAGGUAACUGCAAACAUAUUGCUGUGAGAGAAGAAAAGGUAAGUCUCCAGCUUUAGUCUGCAAUAACUUAAAGAAAUAGACCCAGG